rfam:Cedecea davisae DSM 4568 genomic scaffold Scaffold0, whole genome shotgun sequence.
CAGUAGGUUGGUGACUGUGAGCCAGGGGCGGUAGCGUG